ACAACCUUUCCCUCCAGAACUUCCAAGAACUUGAUCAGAAAACCUGGCUCCAACCUUCAUGCAGGAUUUAAAGAGGGAAUGUGGUGUGCAUGGUAACCCACCAUUCAAGGGAUGUCUUUGCAGAAAUCCUCCCACAAAUUGAGCUGGGUUGGAUUUAACCCCACCAAGCCAAUAGAAGAAAAUGAUAAGACGAAGCACUGAAGCAGCUGGAGGAGGCAAAGCUGAGGACUGUUGCAGCACACAUUGACUGCAGGAGGUGGCAUGAACUCAGCGCUGGCAUUAAACUACAAUUGUGAUGGCCAUCCUGAAAAAUGAGGCAGCGAGUAUGAGAGCUUUCCAGUUGCAAAUUAUUGCUGCAUGGAUGUGAAAGGCACGAGCCAUUCCCAUGGAGUUUCAAGGACAGGUUCCACAGAAUUGCA